AAAAAUGCUGAUACAAAUACUUCAAGCGUUGAAAACAACAUUAACAAAAGUAACUCAAACAGUUCUCACUUUACAGGUGGAAAAUAUAGCUCAAACAUUUUUAGAGAUGAUGACCACAACAAUAAUACAAGUUUAUUGGCCUCAGAUUUGAUAUGUACAACUGUAUGUCUUUUGCUUCUUUUUGGAGUUUUGGCCUUCGCAGCUGGGAAUCUUUGUCGCAGACCCCAGCCUGCUGGGAACCAAAAUGCAACAAACCAAUCUUCUGUCGUAUUAAAUAUUCAAAUUCCUUAGCCACAUUUGCAUGGAUUGUAAGGUGAUAAUUUUGUUUUAUAUGGUUGUAAUCAGUAACAUGAGUUAUAUGUAGAAAUAAAAUUGUUUGUCAAAGUGCU